UUUGCUUGUGGAGACUGUGCAUGCUUCAACAGCCAUUUGUGAAUAUGCACAUUUCCAAAUUGUCAGCAAUGAGAAACAGAGGAAUCACUUUUCAACUUCUGAUCUUCCAAGUACUCUUAAUGGGCAUGUAUCCAGGCAUUUGCAUUAAUGUCAAGAACUGCUUAAGUGCCAAACUGCUCCCUGCUUAAUUCUGAGCAAGCCUGUGAACCUAGAUCUGCAGCAAAAAUCAAGAUGUAAAUUCCCUGCUGCAGUUUUGUUUAUGUGCUUGUACAUCAGAGAAUGAUCAUGCUAAGAAAUCGUUAACGGUCAGCUAUGAAGAGAAACAGCGCUGACCAUUCAGGAUCUGCAGACACGUGCAAAGCAGCGUACCGUGGAAGCGGAGAAGGGAACCUGGUAC